rnacentral:lncRNA from 1 species
AAUUAUUCUUUAAUUGUCCUAUAAAUUAAAAAACCCUAACUAUUAUUCCACACAAUUGUCCGCAUCCUUCUCCAACCUUAAUUUCUCAUCUCUCACAAACUCUCUCAUCUCAACCACCUGCCGCCCCAGCCUCUUUCGGCGACGAGCGAUGCUGGUGACUUCCGCUGGACCUCCGGCGAACAACACCGCCGUCCUCACCUUCCAGAUCACCGGACCCUCAACAUUUCUCACCUCUCCUAUUGCUCCGAUUAGUUAGCGAUAGGGUCGUCGCUCUUGUUGACGCCAACCAGAGCCCUAGGCCCCAAAACCAUACGCCAAAUCGCGGUCCCUGACUUCAAUUUUCUUUGGUGGCGGCGAUGAUAUUCUCUCUCAUCUCUAGAAUCGUCCUAGAAAUCAAAUCCGGCGAAGAGAGACGACAGAGAUGUCGAUUUCGUCCAUCAAUGUCGCCGCUCGUGCCGUACUCUGUGACAGAGCCAACGAAAUCGAAUGGCUGUGAAGACGAGGGGCCAAAGGAAGACGAGGGGCAUAAUCAAAGCCAGAGGAAAUGCGCCAAGUUCAAUGUGAUGAUUUUUCUGAAAAAUCCAAAAAAAUCAUAUAGAUUUAUCACAUUUGAUGAACAUUUUCUUCUUUAUCAUAUUUUUCUUUUCGUAUAUAGAUUUACAAUUGUAUAUAAAUUUGCUUCAAUGAAGUUUGCGGUGGUGGACGGCGGUGGUGGUCGGUGACUCGGCGGCGAUUCCACCGGAGAAGAAGAAGACAUAAAGUUAAUUGCUUAUGAGAUAGCUUUAAAACAAUUUAAAACUUACACUCAACUUUCUACUCUAAUUCUUCUAAAUUCUCGUGCCCAAAUGAAGUGCGUCUUCAUUAUUGGAACGAAUGAAGUACAAAUGAGCCACAAGCUCCCAACCAAACUUAUCUUUGCAUUGCUAACACAUAGUGUCCACUGUCCACCGCAUA